CAUUUCUAAAAAUCACAUAAAAAAACAUAUAUAAGUAUAUACCACAGGAGAUACAUUAGUACAUACAUUAGUACAUACAUUAGUAUAUACCUACAUACACUAGUAUGUACCAUUAGUAUAUACCACUUGAACACUACACAGCAAUGAGUGAUUACACUUGCACACUACAUGCGCAAAGCAAUGAGUGAUUACACUUGUACACUACAUGCGCAAAGCAAUGAGUGAUUACACUUGUACACUACAUACGCAAAGCAAUGAGUGAUUACACUUGUACACUACAUGCACACAGCAAUGAGUGAUUACACUUGCACACUACAUGCACACUGCAAUGAGUGAUUACACUUGUACACUACAUGCGCAAAGCAAUGAGUGAUUACACUACGUGCACACUGCAAUGAGUGAUUACACUUGUACACUACGUGCACACUGCAAUGAGUGAUUACACUUGCACACUACAUGCGCAAACCAUGAGUGAUUACACUUGCACACGUCACCACAUGCACACUGCAAUGAGUGAUUACACUUGCACACUACAUGCGCAAAGCAAUGAGUGAUUACACUUGUACACUACAUGCGCACAGCAAUCAGUGAUUACACUUGCACACGUCACCACAUGCACACUGCAAUGAGUGAUUACACUUGUACACUACGUGCGCACAGCAAUGAGUGAUUACACUUGUACACUACAUGCGCAAAGCAAUGAGUGAUUACACUUUCACCACGCAAAAAUCACUAUUAGUUUACAUGUGGAUAACUUUUUAACAUAUCAUUCCUUACUUUUUGUUUUGGUGCGCUGCAGCUGAUCAAAGGAGUACCCGUACCGUUUGAACCCAUUCCCUCAGGACUACAUUCGUAACACGACAGUGAUACGUUAGAUGCUGAAAGGUUCCUGACACAUCUGCUGUUGGCCGGCUUCAGUACACAUCAUGCCUCCUAUUAUACAGUUCCGCGUUUUCAUGGUCAUUCCCAUAUGGUCUAGCGGUUAGGAUUCCUGGCUUUCACCCAGGCGGCCCGGGUUCGACUCCCGGUAUGGGAACAUUGGUUUUUAGGGGACUUAUAUAGGGCUAACCUCAAUGUCUUCCUUUUCAAAAUAUGUAAUCUGCAUUUUUUUGAAUAAAGUAUUAUUAUUUUCAUCAUUGCACCACCACCACCCGGCAUCUCCAUCAUGGUACGUAAUGUAUAGCAUCGAUCAUUGGGGGCUGGACAGGUAACCUGGGUUGGGGACUGACAACUGUUUGGACCCGUACUGUAUGCUUGACAGACGUUGCAUUCGAUACUAUAUCCUGAGAAAUAAAAAAUCUUUAUUUUAAUCUUUA